UCUUUCAAGAAAAUUCAAAUUAAAUGUACACCAAAUUUAAAGGGAUGGCUUUAAGAAAUGUACUGAAAACCCUAUUGAAUGAAAACUCCAUGAGAAAAUCGUUUGGCCAGUAAGUGGGAGGCGUUUCAGCGGUUUAAUUAUAUUUAUUCAGCCUGCACAAGGGAACCACGCCUGCAAAGCCCAUUACGCACCUGCAUAAGGUGACUACGUCAUGAAGCUGGUUGAGAGAAUGCCAAGGGUAUGCAAAGCUGUCAUCAAGACAAAGGGUGGCUACUUUUAUCAGGAAUCAAGUUAUUGUAACGUCCGUCGUUAAAUGAAGACCAAGUGGCAGUGUGUGCUUACCUGAUGAGAUUUCCUCCCAAGGUAUACCACUCAGCCACCUGGAGACGUCUCUUCUUCUGCCAAGCGUUGACAUCCUCAAGUGUACCCGGCCUCUGUUUUGCUGCCUGCUCUAAAUACACUGCUGUGAAAGUCUCACACUCCACUCAGUCCCUUCCUCAAUCUAAAGAGGGUAUUUUAACGAGAUCUUGUCUGAGACUAUAAAGGCAUCAGAAGAAAAUAACUCCUUGGAUAACAACCUGGAGACUAACUGAAUUGUAAAGGUCAUUUAUUAGCAUAUACAUUUAUACUGUUAAUUAAUUGUGUUACAAUAUGUGGACUAAAUGGAAUGACAUUUGAAUAGGGGUAAAUAAAUCACAAUUUCAAAAUGUCAUUGCUCAAUGUCAGUGUGUAGAAGACGUCCAGUCAGUAGACUUGAGGUGAGGUCUGUGUUGAGUAUGUCACUGUUGGCAGGGCCAGCAGCACAUUAACACAGCGACUCCCAGGACUACUGAGUGAUGGGAUAAACCACAGGUUAGGGUUUCAUUUGAACUACCAGACAGCUAUUCUGACAGAUCGCAGGGGAUUAAAGUGAUUAAGAGUUCAUAUAUAACCUGUUCUUGUGGAAAUGAUGUACAGCUCUAGCUAUAUAAAACUUUCUGACUAAUAUGUAGAUUUGGAGGUCAACUGAUAGAAUCGAACAUCAAAAACAAAGAGAGUAAAUGUUUGAGAACUGAAGGCCACAUGUAAAAGCCAUGCAUUGUCAACUGACAAACACAGACCUCACUUUUCUCUAUGGGAUUUAUUGCACUGUACAUGCAACAAUACAAGGUACAGCUGCAUACUUUAUUAAAGUGUAAUAUUUACACCAUUUUUUUUAAAAAUCCUGCUGAUUGCACUGUGAAAACAAUGUCAGUGGUUAUUCCAAAAUGUUGUCUGUCAGUAAGGGGCGGACAGUUGUGUUUCCUAACUCUGCUUAGCAACACGGGAAUUAAUUUAUGUUUGAGUUCCUGGCUGCUGAUUGAGACGGAAGUGAUGUGAUCAACAUGUAAUUACCAUCACUCUUAUCGGCUUCAUCUCCUGCAGCGUGCCACCCUAAUUGUGUUGUGUUGGAAAUGGCGCCUUGUCCAAUACAACAACCAAGGAAACGGGCAGAAAACAUGGAACCCCUAUUACAUUGACUUUCCCAGAGUUAAAUCAUCAACAGGUGGCUGAACAAUGAAUAUAUGCUCACCUGGAGCCUGUAUAAGGCCACCUGGGAAAGGUACGUACACAUUCUGUUAAAGCCUACAGUCAACUCCUGAUAAGUGCACUUCAGACAAGUGCCAACUUUUCUGUAUCAGUCACAGUGAUGUAUGUAGGCUAAAGGAUUGUGGAAAUGUAGAAUGAAUGAUUCACUGCACAACAACUAUCAUCGUUAUUUAUGUUUUCAAUUCAAACGUAGGACUCAGUGACUGACAUUGUGAGGGUCUCAAACAGUCUCGCUUGGUAAUAAAAUAAAAUUCCUUCUCAAAGAUAGUGCUUUUAAAAAGGGAAGAAUAUGAUAUUGUACAGUAAAAACAUUGUUUAAACUUCUCUUUAUUUAUAUUGUUCUUUUUUGUGAGUUGGUAAGAUCUCAUUGGAAGCGCCAAAACAACUUCUAUUACAAAGUAUGAAUACUGUGCAAAUGCUAUCACUAAUUCUGCCAUUGUGAGCCAAAGAAAUGGGAAAAUAUAAAUUAAACAAGGGGGAGAAGUUAAUCAAGCCUUUCCAACCACUUCACAAGAACCAUUUCAAAAGCCCCUACAGUAACAUCCCACUCAACACGGUGGUCCUGUUUUGUGGGACCUGAUUUUGAAACACGGCUCCGAGCGACAAAGGCUUUUCUAUUUGCUCUGCAGCAUAAAUUAAAAGGAGCACAAUCAGAGCAAUCUAACAGAAAUAGCAGCCCAGAGUCUGAGCUGUGCUCUGGUCACGUUCUGAACUCUUGUAUUGGGGAUUUUCCCAAAAUCUUGACCCUGCUUCAAUGGAAACUGUAUCAGUGUUUCAGUAA